rnacentral:lncRNA from 1 species
CUCGUUAGACAGCCUAUGUACCCUCAACAGGGAUCAAGCCAUUCGUAGUUCGUCUAACAUUCCUCUUAUUACUGCCAUGCAUGAUAAGAAUUCCAUCUCAUGUACACAUACACACACACACACAUAUGCAAGCCGUAAUCAAACCAAUAAACAUCCAACAAAAGCCAUAAUUCAGUUCUCAUCCAAGUGAUCCAAUGAUGUACACAUUCAACAAGAGUAAUCAACCAUGAGAUAAAUAAUAUAACAUUUCAUGAUGUUAAAUAUAAUCAAUCUCCAGAAGGUAUGUCGUAUUUCCCUUACCUAGAUUCCUAAGCAUUGCUCUUAGUUACUAACUCAAGGAUCCACCAUCGUGGCCAAAUUCUGUUUCACAAAUGUAAGAUACUACUAAAUGCAUGACUUGAAUUCUAAUCCUAAUGAAAGUACUUUGGAUUACUAAUGUAACAGUAUCCAAAUUCAAUGCCCUUUUGGUUGAUCUAAAAUAAAUCAUUGUAAAUACACAUGAAGGAAUAAUUCUGGACCAUUAAUAAUGAUGUGUUUUAGUAGGUAUAAAAUGCACCAAAACAAUAAAAUAAUUGACCUUAUAAUCAUAUCACAACUUUACUCAAAUUUAUCUUAUAAGCCAAGGGAUGGAAUCAUAUAAUGCACACCUAUAUAAAAUACAUUAUUUCUGACUUUAAAGAAAUGCUUUGAUCGAUAAAGUUGGAACUACCCAACAGCCCUAGCAGCAUAUGAAAAAGAAUUAUGAACGUAAAGGCUAUUUUGGUGUAGUUCAAGAACUUGCAUGCUUAUGCAUGAAUAUACAAAUAUGUGUAUACACAACCUAAAUAGGUAAAGAAUGCAUAAAUACGUUGGCACAUAAUUGUAUAAGAAAAUGGUUCCUUUGGAACCCAAUACGUAACCUUAUCAAGUGGUUUAAGCACAAACUUAAAACAGAUAAGUAAAUUAAAAUUAAAGUUGUAAGAAGAAUUGAUAUUGCAAAAGCAACAGCCUCAUCUCCACAAAAGCUGCAGAAAAACAGUAUUAGUCAACCAAGAUUAAGCCCGAUUUUGAACACCCAUAACCAUACCAAAUGAUGCAAACUUACAUGAGAUUCGAAGCUUGUUUUGAGUACAUUAAAAACAUAUAAGAUUUGUAGGAAACGGGGUUCCGAGUUGAAAGUUAUGCAAGAUACAGAAUUGAACCCCGAAACUGGAAAUCCAGUAUUUGCUGCCGUCUGGCAGCUUCGUGACUCAAGUUUGUACAUGGUUUUGACAUAUCAAAACUCAACAGAAUUAUGUGAAAUUAGAUGGGCUUUGAUCAUUGACAUGUCUAGUUUCAAAACACAUAAUAAUGGAUCAAAAGAAAUCCAUUAGGACAUAGAAAUCAAGAGCCAAAGUAAGCUACGUGAAACAUAGCUUUUCUCUGUAGACACAUAAGUUCCCUGCAACUUGGAACCCAAACUCCUCUAAUCCAAAACAUAACUUCAGAAUACUUCUAUACAAUUCAAUCAUAUUUAUAACUUUGAUUUCAAUUAUGUCAACAAUAAACAAGAAUUGACCUUUUUACCCAAACCCUAAAACAUGAUAAUUUGAUCAACACACCCAAUGUAUAAAAUUGAAAGUAAUAAGAAGAUUUAAAAGACGAAAAUACAAACAAUAAGGAACUCAAAUUCUUAAUUU